rnacentral:rRNA from 1 species
AGUGAACGCUGGCGGUAGGCCUAACACAUGCCAGUCGAACGGCAGCACAGUAAGAGCUUGCUCUUACGGGUGGCGAGUGGCGGACGGGUGAGGAAUACAUCGGAAUCUACUUUUUCGUGGGGGAUAACGUAGGGAAACUUACGCUAAUACCGCAUACGACCUACGGGUGAAAGCAGGGGAUCUUCGGACCUUUCGCGAUUGACUGAGCCGAUGUCGGAUUAGCUAGUUGGCGGGGUAAAGGCCCACCAAGGCGACGAUCCGUAGCUGGUCUGAGAGGAUGAUCAGCCACACUGGAACUGAGACACGGUCCAGACUCCUACGGGAGGCAGCAGUGGGGAAUAUUGGACAAUGGGCGCAAGCCUGAUCCAGCCAUACCGCGUGGGUGAAGAAGGCCUUCGGGUUGUAAAGCCCUUUUGUUGGGAAAGAAAAGCAGCAGGUUAAUACCCCGCUGUUCUGACGGUACCCAAAGAAUAAGCACCGGCUAACUUCGUG